GGCAAGGUCUGAGGCGGAGCGGGACGGCGAGGCCGGGCGUCCUGCCGUGUGGGUGGGCCCUGGGGAGGCCCCGAGAGCCCGGCCGGGUCUGUGGCAGGAGGGGAGCUGAGCCGGGCCGAGCCUGCUGGGGCUGAGGGGAGGGCGGUGUGGUGAUGCCUCUGUUGGAGCCGGUCUCCCUGAAGCCCCCCGGCAGCCCUUACCCCGGGGGCGCGUUUCAGGAGGGGUGAGGCUGCUGGGGGGGGGUCUGCAAACGGGGACGAGUGGCUGCCGCCUUCCCUGCGGCGGGGAAAGCAAGCUCGGCUCUGAACACCUCUGGGUCUUGGGGUGGGACCUUUCCCAGGAACCUUCCCACCCCCCCCCGCCAGGGUGGGGGAGCAGGAGCAGCUGGAGCUGCUGGUAGCCCGAGUGUGGCCACAGCGCCUUGGAGUGGAGCUGCCAGGGGUGGACAGUGGCAAGGCUGUGGAUGGGGACAAGGCCGAGUACGCAGACAGGGCGCCAGAUGGGAGCAUCACUUGGGGAGGGCGUCCCGAGCGGGUGAGCUCCACCUGCUCUGCCACCGCACUGGGCCAGGGCUCUGGGAAGGAGGAGCAGGAGCCCCGGGAAGAAGAGCUGCUCGCUGACACCGUGAUAGGGUUCUCCAGGGAACAGAGGCUGCACUGGCUGUUGCUGUCAUCCAGGGGGGUCGGGAGUCCUGGGGUUGCAGGGACCAGAGGCCUCGAGAGCGCAGGUGAACUCCCAGAAGCGCUGCUCCAUGGUGAAGUAGGGUUUGAUAUAUUAAAGCUGUAAACUAAUUGAAGUAGGUGCUUAAUAUAUUAGAACUGUAAAUUAGAGUAGGAGCUUAAUUUAGGAGACCGGGUGCCUUAAGGCUGUACAAAGAGCAGAUGCAACAGUUGUAGCACUAAAUGUCAGAACUUAUCUCCUAUUUUUUAAGAAAGAAUGCUUUAGGACAAUAUAACCUUGUAGUAGAAGCUUAUCUCUCAAAACAAGGGGCCCGGGGUUACUGAGGAAUGCAGAGACAUGUCAAAGCUAACACUUUUGAUGCGCCAGCAAGAAUAAAGAAGUAGAGCAGAGGCCUGCAGUUCACCCAGAAGUCACAACGAUGAAGAGGAGUGGAGGAAGUAAAUGACCACCAGAUGCCUCUGAAGACCACCGAGAGACUCUAAUGCGCAUGCAGGAGUGGGCAGUAACCUGUAAUAAUGAGUUAAUGAAUAGGCCGCGCUCAAAAUUAGGAAGUAUCUGGAGCUUACAUGGAAGCUUCCACAACAGAAAAGAAGUGCUUGUACUGAUUGUCUCUGGGAAUGGCUUUUACUGCCCCAGUAACCUUGGUGCUUAUACUCUCCCAAAGGCGAGGCUCCAUUGCAGCAAACUUCCGGAGAAGGACCAAGCAAAAGGAAGGAGGGUAAGAAAAGUCUCUGUUUAGAAUGGGAAAUAGAGAAUUCUAGGCCUAGGGAUGAAAAAGGGGAUAAAAAGAAAGACCCUGGGAACAUUCCCCCAGACAGUCCUUUAGGGGAGAAUGUUGAGUUUUCGGGUUGAUUCUUCUUGUACAAAGGAUAAAGAUAAAAAGAAAAUUAUUUGUUUUGUUUGGACUGCAUCCCGGAGGGGCUGGGGACGGCCGGGGCGGGGAAGGACGUGGACGUCCUGGGUGGGGUCCCAGGGGGGAUCUUGGGGACAUCCCUGGGGGUCCUGUGUCCAUCAUGGGAGAUCUUCGGGGUGUCCUGGGGCAGAACAUGUUUGCAUUUGCAUUUGAAUUUGUUUGGACCAAAGAACCCAUAAGACCUCCUAGUGUAUUUUGGCCUAAAUUUGGAUCUGAUGAAGACUGGGUCUGUCAGACUUUAAAUGUGCAUGUGAAUAAUAAGGAAUAAUAAGGAAUAAUAAGGAAUUAGAAGAAGGUGAAUAUGCUUUUUGCUGGGUCAAGAUGAAUAGAUUCGGGGACACCCAAGUCCAUUCUAUAUGUUCCCAGCCCAGACCGUCAGUGACGUUUCAACCAAUAAAGAAGCUGAAUCCCCUAAGGGGACCCCUUAGACUCUUAGUUGGGGGCAAGGAAGAGGGGUGAGUAACAGGGGAAGAGGACUGCCCCGACCAUUCCUACCAGCAGCUCAAGGUUCACCAGUAGGAUAAUUAUCAUUGUGGGAUUUACAGAAUCCCCUGAGUUGUUUGGGCAAGUGUUAGAACAAGUGCUUGAACAAUUCAAACCUCCAUCGGGAGAAGCCCUGCUUCAGUUAUGUGGAUGACUUAUGGGUAUCUGGGGAGGGAGAAGGCAGGGUAAAAGAAGCCACGAAUGAGUUAUUGAACUUUUUGGGACAGCAAGGUUUGAGGGUCUCAAAAAAAAAAAAAAUUAAAAAAAAAAAAUUGCAAUAUGUGGAAACAGAAGUGAAGUACUUGGGACGUCUAGUCAGUGAAGGGAGUCGAAAAACAAAUCCUGUAAGUCCUGAGAGCAUCAAAGGAAUAGUAGGCUUAGCUCUGCCAAAGACCAAGAGGGAAAUGAGAAAGUUUUUGGGGCUGACUGGGUACUGUAGACUGUGGAUAGGGGUGUGUGCUCAAAAGACUAAAGGACUAUAUGCCAUACUGUUAGCUGAAGAACCGAAUGUAUUGAUUUGGACAGAAGAAGAGGAGGAUUUAGUGGAAGAUUUAAACCAGAGCCUAAUUAGAGCUCCAGUUUUAGCCUUAUCUUCUUUAGAGAAAACUUUUCAACUAUUUGUAACUGUAGACAAAGGGGCUGCGUUAGGAGCUCAAGAAAGCGGCAGCCAGUGGCCUAUUUAUCCAAACUCUUAAAUCCUGUCUCCCGAGGGAGGGGAAUGAUAGAAGUUAGCACCCCUUACCAAGUCAAAACCAUUUUAGCCCAAACCACGGGAAAACGGCUAACCAAUUCAAGAAUACUGAAGUAUGAAGGAAUUUUAAUUGAAAAGGAUGAUUUGAUUUUAACUACCAGCUCUUGCCUUAACCCAGCGAGCUUUUUGUGGAAAGGAGAAGUAGAGGCAAAGGAUGAAGAACUUACACGCGAAUGCAUAGAUGUAAUUGAGUACCAGACUAAGAUACGACCUGACUUAAGGGAAGAACCCCUGUCUGGGGGUCUUCAUUUGUUCGUAGACGGUUCUUCAAGAGUGACAGAAGGAAAGAGGUGUAAUGGAUAUGCGGUGGUGGAUGGAGCGAGCCAACAAGUAAAAGCCUCUGAGAAAUUAACUAGUGCAUGGUCCGCUCGAAUGUGCGAGAUGUAUGCCUUAAACCAGGCACUAAAAUUAAUUGGAGAAGGGGAACGAACAAAAUAUACAGACUCUCGUUAGGCCUUUGGGGUAGGGCAUACAUUUGGUAAAAUUUGGGAAGAACGAGAACUAAUAAAUAGCAAAGGGAAAGAACUUGUAUAUGAGGAACUUAUAGAACAGGUGUUAGCAAAUAUACUAAUGCUAAGUGAAACAGCAGUUGUACACGUUAAAGGUCACCAGAGAGGCAAUUCAAUUACCACAAGGGGAAAUAGAUUAGCGGACAAAGUGGCAAAAGUGGUGGCCUUGGAGCAGGAGACAAUUAAGAUUUAUAGUCUUGUUCCUCAAGUACUGACACUAACGACCCCGUUGAUAUUCAUGGAAAAAGAAAAAGGACAAUGACAGAAGCAGGGGCAGUGGAGAAAGAAGGUAAAUGGAUUCUGUCUGGUGGAAGGGAAAUGGUUAACAAACAAACUAUGAGAGAAAUAAUGGCAGUGUUACAUCAGGGACGCCGUUGCGGAACCCGAGCAACGUGCGAUAUGGUUUUGCAGAAGUAUGAAUGUUUUGGCAUUUGCACCGUAGCAAAGCAAAUUUGUGGAAGGUGUAUUAUUUGUAAGAAAAUAAAUAAGAAGACUCUUAGAAAACAACCUCCAGGCGGACGGGAACCAGGGUUAAGGCCAUUUCAAAGUAUACAAGUCGGUUGUAGUGAACUACGACCAAUUCGCAGGUAUAAGUACCUCUUAGUCCUGGUAGAUCACCUUACUGGAUGGGUGGAAGCUUAUCCCUUAGUCUCAGCGACAGCUGCAGGGGUGAUAAGCGUAAUGCUAAAGCAAAUAAUUCCUAGGUAUGGAAUAGUGGAAAAUGUGGAUUAAGCCAUUUUAUCUCAAAGGUGCUACAGGGAGUGAUGGAAGGUUUAGGGAUAACAUGGGAUUAUCACACUCCCUGGCACCCCCAUCAUCUGGAAAGGUUGAAAGAAUGAAUCAAGCCAUUAAGAAGCAACUAUCUAAAUUAGUUCUUGAGACAAAAUUACCAUGGAUUAAGUGUUUACCAAUAGCAGUAUUGAGAAUCCAGACUUCCCCUGGAAAGGGUACUGGUCUCUCGCCUUAAGAAAUGCUUUUUGGACUACCCUACACUGGGUACACACCCCACAUUUCAAACCAAGGACAUCUUCCUUAAGAAAUAUAUACUGGGGCUGUCGUCUUAUCUCUCUUUCCUCAGAACUAAAGGCCUUCUUGCUCAAACUCUGCCGUUGGAAUUUGUCGUCCAUCUGUAUAAACCGGGGGACUGAGUACUAGUCAAAUCCUGGAAGGAGAGUAAGCUCCAACCGGAGUGGGAAGGACCAUUCCAAGUACUCCUCACUACAGAAACGUCAGUAAGGACAGCGGAAAGAGGUUGGACUCACUACGCCCGGCUAAAAGGACCAGUUGAACCCCCACUGACAGAUCCAGUAGAGCAGUGGAUCAUACAUUCCGCUUACAGCCUGCUGCGAGUAACCCUAAAAAGACAAUAAGCCGUGGGUUGGGGUGGGAUCCAGUCGGGAGGUAUAAAUAUGUGUACGCUGUGAAUUUUAAGAAGCAUUUUGUGAUGAUCCUGGUCGUAGGGGUGGUGGUGCGUUUCCCACUAGGAAGCUGGAGUGCACACCCAGAUUACCCAGUUAGGCUUGUCAUAAAUAUCACUACAGGAGAUACCCCACAGACCGUACGCUUUGAUGCCUGUCAAGUACUGAAGUGUGGGGAUCUAGAGGCCCAAAGACAGUGGAGUGGUGAAAACAAGUACCUGUGUCCAGAAAUCUGGAGGGUCGCAGGGAGAUACCCCGAGGCUGCACCUGGUGAACGAUGGAGUGAAGUGUUGUGGACCAUUCAAAUUGGAGGGUGGACCGUUGAUGACCUAGGCGGAUGAGGUCUAACCUAAUAUAUGGAAUAGGAGCAGAUGUGCCUGGAAGAGAUCCAAGGGGAAGAUUUAGAAUAGACAUAGUGGAAAAUAGCAGUCAAGCGGAAGGGACAACUAUUACUAGUAAACUUCCAGUAAUACAACAGUGGGGGACCAUCGAAUGAUCCAGCUUUGGUAACGGUUACCAAGAUUAAAGAUCUUAGACAAAUACCUGAAAUUGAAACAGCGUCCGGUGAGAUGAAUGCUUGGGUAGAAUGGGUAAAAUAUACCAUUAAUAGUUUGAACCAAAGCAAUUGCUAUGCUCGUGCCUCAGGAAGGCCCACAGCACAGAUAUCCCUUUCCCAUAGGGUGGAUGAAAGAUUCCGUAGGGAUGUGGUGUAUGAUAGCAUUAUACCAAGAAAAGACCACCUGGGGAAAUGAGACUUGCCAUUCACUUCCUUUACUGUUUCCUGCCUUGGAGUCUAGAGAUGUUAAAGUACCACCAGUAUUUUCCACAGCAAUUGGUAACCACCUAGCGUGCCUCUCAUGGCAGGGUGUGAAUGCCACCAAACCUGUGGGGGUUUCACCCUAUGCACUGAAACUCUGAAUGUGACCGAGGAUGUAGGAGGAAACUACUCAGCGUUACGAGUGCCUCGGGCGGAUCUCUGGUGGUAUUGUGGAGGGAAGACCUCGCGAUCUGUGUUGUCACCUAACUGGAAAGGUACAUGUGAGACGGUACAAUUGGCAAUAGCAUUCACCCUAGCAUUUGAAAAAGGAACAGGAUCCCUGAGCUCAGGUAAUAGUGUAAGAAGAAGUUUAGGUGUAUCCUUUGAUGAACAGAUAUAUAGAUCCCAGCGGCAUCCCUAGAGGAGUCCCGGAUGAACAAAAAGCAACGAAUCAGAUAGGAGCAGGAUUCGAAUCUCUCUUUUUUCUGGUGAGUAACUAUAAACAAAAAUGUAGAUUGGAUAUAUUAUAUUUACUGUAACCAACUGAGGUUUAUUAAUUAUACCAGAGAUACGCUGAAAUGAGUAACAGAACAAUUGGAUGCAGCCAGCCGAGUGGCCUGGGAAAAUAGGAUCGCCCUAGACAUGAUCUUUGCGGAGAAGGGAGAGGUGUGUGUAAUGGUAGGGAAUCGGUGUUGUACCUUUAUCCCAAACAAUACGGCUCCAGAUGGUACUAUAACUAAAGCCCUUCAAGGGCUCCCCGCUCCAGCUUGACAGGAGUUAGCUGAAAAAGUCUGGAAUAGACACCUCACUGACAGGUUGGCUGGAUUCCUGGUUUGGAAAAUGGAAAGGUAUGGUGGUAUCAACACUGACUUCUCUUAGAAUAGUAGCAGGAGUCUUAGUGGCUGUAGGAUGCUUUAUCAUUUCCUGUGUGCGAGGAUUAGUUCAACGAUUAAUUGAAACUGCCCUAACGAAACAAGUGGAAGUAGACCCUCCCCCAUACCCUGGGAAAAUGGUUCAACUCCAGGAAAAGAACAAGAAAGAGGAAGACGAAUGUGAAUUGAUGCUUGCAAACCUAGAAGUUUCUUAUGGGAGCAUACCCGGAUAAGUAAGUGCAAAAAGCAAUAAAUUUAGAAAAUGAAAGGGGAGGGAUUGUAAAAAAAUCUAAGUAUUGUUUUUGCAGAGGAACAACUUGGCCAGUCUGCAACGAUGUAGCUAGAGAAUGAUUAACAACACAAAGGCUGAGCAAGAGACAAGCAAGAAUGCUCAUCCCUUAGACAAAGGAGAAACCAGUCUAUGCUGAAUUAGUAGUUUAAUGGGAAGAUGAACAUUUAACUGAGACCAGCUACCAUGGGCAAUAAUACAAAAAAAGGAGCAAAUAAACAGGUGAAGUACGGGGCUUAGCAGGGGUGAUGGGGAGAAGUAAACGGAGGCGGAGUGAACAGAAAUAGUUUUAGGCGAAUCGGGUAGGCUGUAAACCCUGGAGUUUGGGAGCCAAUGGGGAAACAGGGGAGAGAAAUUUCUGCCGGGAACAGGAAAUAAAAAGUUAUUUCGGGAACUCAGGUGUGCCUCCCAGCUAGGUCACCCGUUCUUGCAAGAACGUCUAGAUAAAACGUGCUUCAUAUCGAUCACUGCCCGAGUCAUGGUUAUUGGAUAAGGAGCGUUUCUAACAGUACUGCUUUCAUUGCCCGCAAACCUUGGUGCUAACACUGCCCGUUAGCGCGGGAUUCAAUAACACCAAAAGUCUGGAGCUUACUGUAACAUGGAAUGUCCCGGGAGAGAGCAGUUGUGCUUGUUCUCGCUGUCUCUGGGAACGGCUUUUGUGGCCCCCCAGGCCUUGCUGUUUACGCUCUGCCAGGGGCGAGGCUCAAUUGCAGCAGCUUCUGGAGCUUGCUGCCUCGUGGAAGGUGGCAAGAGGGAAAAGCGGUGCUUGAUCUUACUGUCUCUGGGAUCCACUUUCAUUUCACCAAUAACCUUCGUUGUCACUCACUGCCUAAGGUCAUCCUAAAAAAUAGCAAAAGCCUGAAGCUUGCUCCCAAAUUGAAGGUGAAGAAAGGGACUAGUUGUUCUCGCGCUCUCUGGGAACAGCUUUCAUUGCUCUACUAACCUUGGUGCUAAAACUGUCCCAACAGCAAGGCUGAAUAACAGCAAACGUCUGGAGCUGGAUCAACAUGGAGUGUCUGGGAAGGAAAAGUGGUGCUUUUUCUCACUGUUUCUGGAAUCCGCUUUCAUGGCCCCUGCCAUUCUGUGAUUUUAUGCUGCCAGCUCAGUGUGUCUUGCUUAAGUACUUGUUUUGUGGGUGCUGUUACCCUGCACGGAUUUUUUCCAGCAUGGCUCCGACCCAGGGACGCAGGGAGUGGGGACUCUGCAGCAGCAUCCUCUGGCAGGGGGGCUGGCAUUUGUGGAGGGUAAGUAGAUAAAUCAGGGGAAUCUUCUCUAGUCUGUGCCAGACUGACUUCUGAAUGCCGUGUGGUUAAUAGGGAUUAAUGGGAAUUAAAUAAGAAUGGGAGAGACGCGCUGGGAGAACUAAACUGCCUUGAGAAUAGGCAUUAAGUGGGGGGGGGCAUGUUACCUGGGAAGUAUCUGGGGAGAUGGUUGCUGGCAUGGCUGGUGUCCUGGGUUGAGCAACAGAGGACUAAUUUCUCUUCCAGUGCUGGGGAAAAUGCCACUUUUGGAAGACUAUAGUGUCUGAAUUUGUGAAAAUAUUUAUUUUAUAGCCAGCUAGGCUACGUGGGAUUCAAGGUCUUGGUGUUUUCAAGCCUUGCCACGUGCAGGGAUGAGGAGGAGCGAGGCCUGGCUAACAAGAUUAUUUCAUACCAUGAACGUCAUAUUCUUUAGAAAUUAGAAAGUUUGCUGCAUAGUUUCUCUCUCCCUUGAUGGCAGCAGUCCAGAGAAACUCCUUGCCCCGGUUCCAGACCCACGAGGCCUUCCCUUCCUCCUGAAGCUGUUGCUCUCACAGUGUCCGACUUACUGUCCACUGCUGGGAGUCACAGCUUCCUACUGAUAUAAUUGGCUGAGUAUAAUUCUUGUAUAUCUUAUAUUAGUAUCCGGAUUAAUACUGGUUCUUUAGUAUUAUUGUUAAUUAUUUAGUCUUAUCCUAUUAAAUCUAUUUAUAUUUCAA